rnacentral:rRNA from 1 species
UGAAAGCCUGGGGUGCCCCGGCGAGGGGAGCCCUAGCACAGGUGCUGCAUGGCCGUCGUCAGCUCGUGCCCGUGAGGUGUUGGGUUAAGUCCCGCAACGAGCGCAACCCCCGCCGUUAGUUGCCAGCGGUUCGGCCGGGCACUCUAACGGGACUGCCCGCGAAAGCGGGAGGAAGGAGGGGACGACGUCUGGUCAGCAUGGCCCUUACGGCCUGGGCGACACACGUGCUACAAUGCCCACUACAAAGCGAUGCCACCCGGCAACGGGAGCUAAUCGCAAAAAGGUGGGCCCAGUUCGGAUUGGGGUCUGCAACCCGACCCCAUGAAGCCGGAAUCGCUAGUAAUCGCGGAUCAGCCAUGCCGCGGUGAAUACCGGUUCCCGGGCCUU